rnacentral:rRNA from 1 species
UACGAAGGGGGCUAGCGUUGUUCGGAAUUGCUGGGCGUAAAGCGUGCGCAGGCGGCUUCUCAAGUCAGGGGUGAAAGCCCAGAGCUCAACUCUGGAAUUGCCUUUGAGACUGAGUGGCUUGAGUACGAGAGAGGUGAGUGGAAUUCCCAGUGUAGAGGUGAAAUUCGUAGAUAUUGGGAAGAACACCGGUGGCGAAGGCGGCUCACUGGCUCGUAACUGACGCUCAUGCACGACAGCGUGGGGAUCAAACAGG